CGAAUACGCGGGUUUACUAUCACUAGUAUGGGUUCAUUGCCAUAUUUUCUCAUUAUUACCUAUGGUAAAAUUGUCCUGAGUUUGAUGUCCAAGCGCAAUGUUCCGGAAUUUUCGAUUGAUAGUCCGUAGUCCGUCCACUGUCCCUUCGUCCCUUACCGGAACCAAGCCUCGGAUAGGUACACUAUUGCUUUACAUCGAAGCAGCGAUCAUCACUCCUUUCAACCUUUGCCGUGCUUUAAUUUGCAAGAGCCACAUCCCUUUUUGCAUACCGUUCAAAUAAUUCGUAUAUUUUAAUGCGAUAAGUUUUGUGGUGUGUGUACAUCGGUGUAUGUAAGUGUAGGUGGGUGAUUUCACGAUAAAAGGAAUAAUAGUCGUAUGGAGCGAUAUAAAUGCCUGUUCCUCAAGUAGAUAACUAUUCGCGCUCCGACGUAUGGUUCGUUACCUACCCGGCAAAAUUGAAGGCGAACUGAAGUUUUUGUCACAGUUCGAUCUAGCGCUCUACAGGGCCAAUUUCCAUGAUGUUUAUCGGGUAUCGACAGGCAAUAGCCCCUGGAUGAGCUGGAUCUAUUCAUACAAAUAUUUUGGAGACUUAAUUCACAGGGACCCGUGGAGCGAAACACUUUCUCGAGGCUGGGCCGCGUGGUUGCCACCAAUACCUACCUAGUUGCGAACAGUGCAGUACCCAGUGCUGAAGACAUGACUGAUGUUAUACUUUCAGAUGACAAGUCCUUCAUUUGUUAGCCUGCGUCAUAAUCUACCGUUCAGAUAUAUAAUCUUGCAUGUGAUCUGGCAGCAGAGACAUGCACGUAACAGGGAUGUGGAGACCUUACCGUCCGGAAAAUCCUUGGUGCUCCUCCUCCCACGGGAGUUUUCGAGUCUCGGCGAGGGCUUUUGGAACACCGAAAAUAGCACUCGCCAACCUUCUCUCCGCUUCGUUCGGCUUAUUAUUUUUCCUUUUUUUCUGCGUGAAGAGAGCCUUUCCCCCUUUUCCUCGCCUUUUCAGACAUUGCGCAUGAUUGCUAUAUUGAUGUCGUUCCUGCAAUGUGCCACUUUUUACGAAGAUGACCCAAGUCCAGCAUUGAAAAAUGCGAAUCUACAUAAAGUAUAACGUUUACAAAUCUUC